UACGUAGGUGGCAAGCGUUGUCCGGAAUUAUUGGGCGUAAAGCGCGCGCAGGUGGUUCUUUAAGUCUGAUGUGAAAGCCCACGGCUCAACCGUGGAGGGUCAUUGGAAACUGGGGAACUUGAGUGCAGAAGAGGAAAGUGGAAUUCCAAGUGUAGCGGUGAAAUGCGUAGAGAUUUGGGAGGAACACCAGUGGCGAAGGCGACUUUCUGGUCUGUAACUGACACUGAGGCGCGAAAGCGUGGGGAGCAAACAGG
rnacentral:rRNA from 1 species